rnacentral:rRNA from 1 species
GGGCCCGCACAAGCAGUGGAGCAUGUGGUUUAAUUCGAUGCAACGCGAAGAACCUUACCAGGGCUUGACAUACUACAAAUCUUUUAGAGAUAAAAGAGCGCUUUCGAGAAUGUAGAUACAGGUGGUGCAUGGCUGUCGUCAGCUCGUGUCGUGAGAUGUUGGUUAAGUCCCGCAACGUAGCGCAAUCCCUCUGUUUUUAGUUGCCAAUUUAUUGGUUUUUUAGAAAGACUGCCGGUGACAAACCGGAGGAAGGUGAGGAUGACGUCAAGUCAGCAUGCCCCUUAUGUCCUGGGCUACACACGUGCUACAAUGGUGGGGACAAAGAGUUGCCAAUCUGCAAAGAUGAGCUAA